UACGUAGGGGGCAAGCGUUGUCCGGAUUUAUUGGGCGUAAAGAGCGUGUAGGCGGCUAGGUAGGUCCGUUGUGAAAACUCGAGGCUCAACCUCGAGACGCCGGUGGAAACCAUCUAGCUAGAGUCCGGAAGAGGAGAGUGGAAUUCCUGGUGUAGCGGUGAAAUGCGCAGAUAUCAGGAAGAACACCCGUGGCGAAGGCGGCUCUCUGGGACGUGACUGACGCUGAGACGCGAAAGCGUGGGUAGCAAACAGG
rnacentral:rRNA from 1 species